CCUACGGGUGGCAGCAGUAGGGAAUUUUCGUCAAUGGGCGCAAGCCUGAACGAGCAAUGCCGCGUGAACGAGGAAGGUCUUCUGAUCGUAAAGUUCUGUUGAAGGGGAAAAAGAGCGGAGAGAGGAAAUGAACUCCGAUUGAUAUUACCCUUCGAGGAAGUCACGGCUAACUACGUGCCAGCAGCCGCGGUAAUACGUAGGUGGCGAGCGUUAUCCGGAAUGAUUGGGCGUAAAGGGUGCGUGGGCGGCCUGCUAAGUCUGGAGUGAAAGGUACCGGCUCAACCGGGAUCGGCUGUGGAAACUGGGGGGCUAGAGUGCAGGAGAGGGCGGUGGAAUGCGAUGUGUAGCGGUAAAAUGCGUAGAUAUAGGGAAGAACACCAGUGGCGAAGGCGGCCGCCUGGACUGUGACUGACGCUGAGGCACGAAAGCGUGGGGAGCAAAUAGGAUUAGAUACCCUUGUAGUC
rnacentral:rRNA from 1 species